CCUACGGGUGGCAGCAGUGGGGAAUAUUGGGCAAUGGGCGCAAGCCUGACCCAGCAAAGCCGCGUGAAGGAAGAAGGCUUUCGGGUUGUAAACUUCUUUUAAGAGGGACGAGAAGAAGACUGUACCUCUUGAAUAAGCCACUGCUAACUACGUGACAGCAGCCGCGGUAAUACGUAGGUGGCACGCGUUGUCCGGAUUUACUGGGUGUAAAGGGCGUGCAGCCGGGCUGACAAGUCAGAUGUGAAAUCACGCGGCUCAACCGCGGAACUGCAUUGGAAACUGUCAGUCUUGAGUACCGGAGAGGUCAUCGGAAGUCCUUGUGUAGCGGUGAAAUGCGUAGAUAUAAGGAAGAACACCAGUGGCGAAGGCGGAAGACUGGACGGCAACUGACGGUGAGGCGCGAAAGCGUGGGGAGCAAACAGGAUUAGAUACCCCAGUAGUC
rnacentral:rRNA from 1 species